rnacentral:rRNA from 1 species
CACGCCCUAAACGAUGUCAACUGGUUGUUGGGAAGGUUCCUUCUCAGUAACGUAGCUAACGCGUGAAGUUGACCGCCUGGGGAGUACGGCCGCAAGGUCGAAACUCAAAGGAAUUGACGGGGACCCGCACAAGCGGUGGAUGAUGUGGUUUAAUUCGACGCAACGCGAAAAACCUUACCUACCCUUGACAUGUCUGGAAUUUUGCAGAGAUGUGAAAGUGCUCGAAAGAGAACCAGAACACAGGUGCUGCAUGGCCGUCGUCAGCUCGUGUCGUGAGAUGUUGGGUUAAGUCCCGCAACGAGCGCAACCCUUGUCAUUAGUUGCUACGAAAGGGCACUCUAAUGAGACUGCCGGUGACAAACCG